rnacentral:tRNA from 1 species
GACGGUAUAGCUCAGUGGUAAAGCACAUGCUUAGCAUGCAUGAAGUCCUGGGUUCAAUUUCCAGUAUUUCCA